UACGAAGGGGGCUAGCGUUGUUCGGAUUUACUGGGCGUAAAGCGCGCGUAGGCGGAUUGUUAAGUCAGGGGUGAAAGCCCGAAGCUCAACUUCGGAACUGCCUUUGAUACUGGCGAUCUAGAGUCCGGGAGAGGUGAGUGGAACUGCGAGUGUAGAGGUGAAAUUCGUAGAUAUUCGCAAGAACACCAGUGGCGAAGGCGGCUCACUGGCCCGGAACUGACGCUGAGGUGCGAAAGCGUGGGGAGCAAACAGG
rnacentral:rRNA from 1 species